rnacentral:rRNA from 1 species
AACGAACGCUGGCGGCAUGCCUAAUACAUGCAAGUCGAACGAUCACUUCGGUGGUAGUGGCGCACGGGUGCGUAACGCGUGGGAAUCUGCCCGUGGGUUCGGAAUAACGUCGGGAAACUGACGCUAAUACCGGAUGAUGACGUAAGUCCAAAGAUUUAUCGCCCAGGGAUGAGCCCGCGUAGGAUUAGCUAGUUGGUGGGGUAAAGGCUUACCAAGGCGACGAUCCUUAGCUGGUCUGAGAGGAUGAUCAGCCACACUGGGACUGAGACACGGCCCAGACUCCUACGGGAGGCAGCAGUAGGGAAUAUUGGACAAUGGGGGCAACCCUGAUCCAGCAAUGCCGCGUGAGUGAUGAAGGCCUUAGGGUUGUAAAGCUCUUUUACCCGGGAUGAUAAUGACAGUACCGGGAGAAUAAGCCCCGGCUAACUCCGUGCCAGCCGCCGCGGUAA